rnacentral:tRNA from 1 species
AUUGUUACUUUGGCAGAUUAGUGUGUUUGAUUUAGGAUCAUUUUAUGUAUUUAUUACAAGUAAUA